rnacentral:lncRNA from 1 species
CCACACCACCAGCCUUUUUCACCACCAGACUCUUUUGAACCCUCGGAGUUCCCCCUCGGUCACAUACCACAAUCUUCCCGGCAACCUUUGCCGGAAUCAGACUGCCGGGACUGCACAGAUCACCACUCGAACUGCUCACAUUGCGAGCAUCAACAAGUGGAAUCAAUCCACUAGACAAGGCCGUUCCCCUGUAUAGAGAUAUACCUCUAAAUUUCUUUGCAUUUCCAAGGCUGACAUAAGCCGGGAAGUCCCUGUCCAAUGUUCCAGCGCCCACAGUAGUUAUCCAAGGCGCAACAUUGGACAAGCUUCCCGCUUCAGGUCCACCAUUUCCAGCCGAACACGAUACUAGAAUACCCUGCGCCGCGGCAGAGAAAGCUCCAAUGGCAACUGUGUCUCUAUAAUAAUCAGACUGCGAUCCACCAAUAGACAAAGACAAAACAUCAACCCCAUCCUCAACCGCCUUCUCCAUUGCAGCUAUGAUAUCAGAACCGAAACACCCUCCAAGCCAGCAAGCCUUAUAUGUGGCCACUCGAGCUUGCGGCGCCAUACCCCUAGCUGUCCCUGGAGCAUAACCAAGGAAGCUAGCUCCUGUAACAACAGACCCCGCCGCAGUUGUUGAGGUGUGAGUUCCAUGGCCAUCGUCAUCUCUCGGUGACUUUGAUUCUACGUUUUCAUCAACAGGUCCAAACGCUGCUUCGUACCCGUUUGAGAAAAACGCAGCACCAAUCAGCUUUUUGUUGCAGCUCGAAGAGUUGAAUGUCUUUCCCUGCUGGCACGACCCUUUCCAGCCAGUCGGCACUGGUCCAAAACCAGUGUCGUCGUAGCUUUUGAGCUCCGGCCACACGCCGGUGUCCACUACUCCGAUGAUCACCUCACCCAUCUUAUCCGAAGCCGGUAACACAGCUUCGCUUUUGCGUAGUCCUAGAAACUCCGGAGUCCUAGUUGUGUGAAGCUCGUACCUCCUUUCCGGCAGGACAGAGAGAAUUCCUGGCUGCUUUUCGAGCUGCUCAGCUUCCUCGGCAGUUAGCCUUGUUGAGUAGCCAUGGAUGACAGUCUUGUACGUGUAAAGCAUGUCAGCUGAAUCGGAGACCGCUUUCAACGACGAGCCGUACC